rnacentral:rRNA from 1 species
AACGAACGCUGGCGGCAUGCCUAACACAUGCAAGUCGAACGAACCCUUCGGGGUUAGUGGCGCACGGGUGCGUAACGCGUGGGGAUCUGCCCAAAGGUUCGGAAUAACUCAGAGAAAUUUGAGCUAAUACCGGAUAAUGUCUUCGGACCAAAGAUUUAUUGCCUUUGGAUGAACCCGCGUAGGAUUAGCUUGUUGGUGGGGUAAAGGCCUACCAAGGCGACGAUCCUUAGCUGGUCUGAGAGGAUGAUCAGCCACACUGGGACUGAGACACGGCCCAGACUCCUACGGGAGGCAGCAGUGGGGAAUAUUGGACAAUGGGCGAAAGCCUGAUCCAGCAAUGCCGCGUGAGUGAUGAAGGCCUUAGGGUUGUAAAGCUCUUUUACCAGGGAUGAUAAUGACAGUACCUGGAGAAUAAGCUCCGGCUAACUCCGUG